rnacentral:rRNA from 1 species
CAGUCGCCGCGGGAAUACGAAGGGUGCAAGCGUUACUCGGAAUUACUGGGCGUAAAGCGUGCGUAGGUGGUGGUUUAAGUCCGUUGUGAAAGCCCUGGGCUCAACCUGGGAAUUGCAGUGGAUACUGGGUCACUAGAGUGUGGUAGAGGAUAGUGGAAUUUCCGGUGUAGCAGUGAAAUGCGUAGAGAUCGGAAGGAACAUCUGUGGCGAAGGCGACUAUCUGGGCCAACACUGACACUGAGGCACGAAAGCGUGGGGAGCAAACAGGAUUAGAGACCCGGGUAGUCCUGUCUCUUAUACA